rnacentral:rRNA from 1 species
AGGACCCUGUCCUCCUAUUUUCAGUUGGUUUUGGCAGCGCGAGGACUAGGGUAAUGAUUAAUAGGGAUAGUUGGGGGCAUUAAUAUUUAAUUGUCAGAGGUGAAAUUCUUGGAUUUAUGAAAGAUUAACUUCUGCGAAAGCAUCUGCCAAGGAUGUUUUCAUUAAUCAAGAACGAAAGUUAGGGGAUCGAAGACGAUCAGAUACCGUCGUAGUCUUAACCAUAAACGAUGCCGACCAGCGAUUAGGAGACGUUGAAUACAAAACACCACCAUCGGCGCGGUCGUCCUUGGCGUUCGUGUUCACGCACGGGCGCGAGGGCGGCUUAGCCCGAUGGCACCGGUGAAUGACUCCCCUAGCAGC